rnacentral:sRNA from 1 species
UGGGCUGAUCGAAAGAUCCAGGUCCACCGAAGGCGGGGAACCUCCCC